rnacentral:rRNA from 1 species
CAGCCGCCGCGGUAAUACGUAGGUGGCAAGCGUUGUCCGGAAUUAUUGGGCGUAAAGCGCGCGCAGGCGGUCCUUUAAGUCUGAUGUGAAAUCUUGCGGCUCAACCGCAAGCGGCCAUUGGAAACUGGGGGACUUGAGUGCAGGAGAGGGAAGUGGAAUUCCACGUGUAGCGGUGAAAUGCGUAGAGAUGUGGAGGAACACCAGUGGCGAAGGCGGCUUCCUGGCCUGUAACUGACGCUGAGGCGCGAAAGCGUGGGGAGCAAACAGGAUUAGAUACCCUGGUAGUCCACGCCGUAAACGAUGAGUGCUAAGUGUUAGGGGGUUUCCGCCCCUUAGUGCUGCAGCUAACGCAUUAAGCACUCCGCCUGGGGAGUACGGCCGCAAGGCUGAAACUUAAAGGAAUUGGCGGG